GAGUUUGAUUCUGGCUCAUGAUUGAACGCUGGCGGCAUGCCUAACACAUGCAAGUCGAACGGAAACGAUGGAAGCUUGCUUCCAGGCGUCGAGUGGCGGACGGGUGAGUAAUACUUAGGAAUCUGCCCAGUAGUGGGGGACAACUCGGGGAAACUCGAGCUAAUACCGCAUACGCACUACGGUGGAAAGUGGAGGAUCUUCGGACUUCACGCUAUUGGAUGAGCCUAAGUCGGAUUAGCUUGUUGGUAGGGUAACAGCCUACCAAGGCGACGAUCCGUAGCUGGUCUGAGAGGACGAUCAGCCACACUGGGACUGAGACACGGCCCAGACUCCUACGGGAGGCAGCAGUGGGGAAUAUUGGACAAUGGGCGCAAGCCUGAUCCAGCAAUGCCGCGUGUGUGAAGAAGGCCUGCGGGUUGUAAAGCACUUUCAGUAGAGAAGAAAAGCUCAUGGUUAAUACCUGUGAGUCUUGACGUUACCUACAGAAGAAGCACCGGCUAACUCCGUGCCAGCAGCCGCGGUAAUACGGAGGGUGCGAGCGUUAAUCGGAAUUACUGGGCGUAAAGCGCG
rnacentral:rRNA from 1 species